ensembl:snoRNA
AACAUACUUGGGACCACCCUUCAUGAAGCAUUAAAAUUCUAUUAAAACUUUAACCUUUUAAAUGAGUGUGUGUUAGAAAUUCAUUAACUGACUUUGGUUUUCUUGGCUUUGUGCAUAUUAAACCUGGUAUUUCUAUUGAUAAAAUA